CGGGUUCUGCCCCUCUCGUGACGAGGUCAAAUUCCGGUGGCCUUACUCGAUCCCGAGGGAGCUGGCUCUGACAAGGUCGUGGCCUUGUUACCUGGCGCCCACCUGUACAAGCAGGCUCUCGGGAAUUGGUUGCCUCAACGGUUGCGGCGGUCCCGCC
rnacentral:other from 1 species